UACAGAGGCCCCAAGCGUUACUGAGAAUCACUGGGUUUAAAGGGUGCGUAGGUGGCGCGUUAAGUCCGUUGUGAAAUCCCUUGGCUCAACCAAGGAAAUGCUUCGGAUACUGGCGUGCUUGAGGCUAGUAGGGGUCACUGGAACUGACGGUGGAGCGGUGAAAUGCGUAGAUAUCGUCAGGAACGCCAAUGGUGAAGACAGGUGACUGGGCUAGUUCUGACACUGAGGCACGAAAGCGUGGGGAGCAAACAGG
rnacentral:rRNA from 1 species